rnacentral:misc_RNA from 1 species
ACAGAUUGCCGAAGGCCAGAAGAAAAAGCCUGACAAGUUGUCGCUGCUCUGCUCCAGGAGAUUGUUACAAACAUGUGUAAGCGGUAGCAAGCGGUAACCACGCGUGUUUUAUCUUCCGCUUUUCGUCGCCGAUAAGUAGCGAUAUUCCCUGAGAUUAACCGGGGCAUAUUAUGCGCUUAGGCUGCCUUUUCAGGUGGAAUCGAUCUCUUGUGACUGCUCUCAACGGCACGGCGAGUGCUUGGCACACUACCAGGUGUUACUCGAGCAGUCUGGCUUCGAAGAUGCCGCUCAAGUUCGCCGCCAACAUCUCGACCAUGUUCACGCAGACUCCGCUGCUGACGCGCUACCGCUUAGCGCAGUCGCACGGAUUCAAAGCCGUCGAAUGCCAAUUUCCCUACGACGUCGGCAUCGACAACAUCCGCAGUGAGAAGGAGACCUGUGGAAUGGUGCAGGUGCUCAUUAACUCGUAUCCAGGUGACUUGCCUAAGGGCGAGUUGGGCUUUGCUGCAAAGCCGGGUUGUGAAUCGGAAUUUCUCAGCAGCUUGGAGACUUCGAUAAAAUAUGCCAAGGCCUUGGACUGCAAGAAGAUACAUAUUAUGGCAGGAAUCACUGGCACAGAGCGCAACAGCAUUAUGGAGGAAACAUACCUCACGAACUUGACAAAAGCAGCUGGACUGCUUGAAAAGGAAGGAAUUGUAGGCGUGAUAGAGCCCCUGUGCAAGGAGGUUAAACCGGGAUAUUUUCUCAACAACUACGAACAAGCUGCACGUUACGUCACACAGCUGAACCACAAGAACUUGCGUCUACUCCUGGAUGUAUUCCACCUUCAAAUGAGCUCGGGCAAUUUGACCAACACGAUCGCGAGCGUGUACCCGCUUGUAGGUCACAUACAAGUUUCUCAGGCUCCACGUAGGGAUGAGCUUAACGCACCUGGUGAAAUAAAUUAUAAAUAUAUCCUGCACCUAUUCGAAGAGCUUGGCUAUGAUGACUGGAUAGGCCUUGAGUACACGCCAUCUGGGCAAAGUGGUGAUGGAAUUUCGUGGAUUAAAGACUAUGGCUAUAGCCUGUGAACAAUGUCAAAAAUGUGAGAGUUAAGAAAAUUGAAAUAUUUUUCUGGAAUUGAAUAGAGAGAGCAC